UCUCCGUUGGUGAACCAGUGGAGGGAUCAUUACCGAGUGCAAACUCAUAACCCUUUGUGAACCUAUAUCUGUUGCUUCGGCGGCUCGCUCUCGGGCGAGCCCGCCGGUAAUAUCAGUAUCUCUGUUUGAACCCGACGAUACUUCUGAGUGUUCUUAGCGAACAGUUAAAACUUUUAACAACGGAUCUCUUGGCUCUAGCAUCGAAGAACGCAGC
rnacentral:misc_RNA from 1 species